CCUACGGGAGGCAGCAGUGAGGAAUAUUGGUCAAUGGACGAGAGUCUGAACCAGCCAAGUAGCGUGAAGGAUGACUGCCCUAUGGGUUGUAAACUUCUUUUAUAUGGGAAUAAAACGUUCCACGUGUGGGAUUUUGUAUGUACCAUAUGAAUAAGGAUCGGCUAACUCCGUGCCAUCAGCCGCGGUAAUACGGAGGAUCCGAUCGUUAUCCGGAUUUAUUGGGUUUAAAGGGAGCGUAGGGGGGUUGUUAAGUCCGUUGUGAAAGUUUGCGGGUCAAACGUAAAAUUGCAGUUGAAACUGGCAGUCUUGAGUACAGUAGAGGUGGGCGGAAUUCGUGGUGUAGCGGUGAAAUGCUUAGAUAUCACGAAGAACUCCGAUUGCGAAGGCAGCUCACUGGACUGCAACUGACACUGAGGCUCGAAAGUGUGGGUAUCAAACAGGAUUAGAUACCCCAGUAGUC
rnacentral:rRNA from 1 species